UACAUGUGGGGCAAGCGUUGUUCGGAAUUACUGGGCAUAAAGGGCUUGUAGGUGGCCAACUAAGUCAGACGUGAAAUCCCUCAGCUUAACUGGGGAACUGCGUCUGAUACUGGAUGGCUUGAGUUUGGGAGAGGGAUGCGGAAUUCCAGGUGUAGCGGUGAAAUGCGUAGAUAUCUGGAGGAACACCGGUGGCGAAGGCGGCAUCCUGGACCAACACUGACACUGAGGAGCGAAAGCCAGGGGAGCAAACGGG
rnacentral:rRNA from 1 species